AUGGCACCGCAUAAAGUUUGGGAAACCUUGUGGACUUUGAAAGUGCCUGCGAAAAUAAAAAUUCACAUCUGGAGAUGUCUACAUAACACAAUACCCUGCCGUAGUGUGCUAAUGAACCGUCAUGUGGGGAAUAUAUUUGGCUGCCUGUUUUGUUCAGAAGGAGCAGAAGAUCUCGCGCAUAUGCUGUUUAAAUGUGCUAGAUCACAAGAAGUGUGGAGAUCUCUGGGAGUUGCAGACGAUAUAAAUUUUGCUUGUCAAAUGGAUCGAGUGGGUUCAGCAGCUAUAGAGUUUUUUCUCUGUGAUACCUAUUUUCGAAGACAAUAUAAUGGUGUGCUUGAGCUACCGGAGUUGUUUACCACAACCUAUUGGUAUAUUUGGUGGCAACGGAGACAGUUUGUGCGGGGUGAGGAUGUUGCCUCUCCAGCGCGAAUGGCCGUAGCAGUGGCAGCCCUAUCUCUGAACUAUGUCCGGGGAGCACAAACAAAAAUGACACCAAAAGUGAACAACUGGCCGGGGGUUUUCGCUGGUCAGAUAGUCAUUAACGUUGAUGCGUCGUUCAGAGAAGGAGAUUAUGCAGGAUCUUGUGGAGUGGUCAUCCGUGACUAUCGUGGAAAUUUCAUGUCUGCAGCGACAGCAACACUCGACCAUGUACCUGAUGUUGAGACAGCUGAAGCUGCGGCUAUAUUAGAAGGAAUGAAGCUAGCAAAGGAAACAGGGUGCCAUAAUGUGAUAGUAAGAUCAGAUAAUAUCACGGUGGUGGAGGCACUCAAACUGAAUGGAGGCUAUUCUAUGAUGGCAGCGCCGGUGCUGGAUGAAUGUCGCAGUUAUCUCGAAGAUUUCGGGAAGUUAACUAUUGAGCAUUGUAUUAGAGAGUCAAAUAAUAUAGCUCAUGAGCUCAUGAGUUAG
rnacentral:rRNA from 1 species